rnacentral:rRNA from 1 species
UAGUGAUCCGGUGGUUCUGAAUGGAAGGGCCAUCGCUCAACGGAUAAAAGGUACUCCGGGGAUAACAGGCUGAUACCGCCCAAGAGUUCAUAUCGACGGCGGUGUUUGGCACCUCGAUGUCGGCUCAUCACAUCCUGGGGCUGAAGUAGGUCCCAAGGGUAUGGCUGUUCGCCAUUUAAAGUGGUACGCGAGCUGGGUUUAGAACGUCGUGAGACAGUUCGGUCCCUAUCUGCCGUGGGCGCUGGAGAAUUGAGGGGGGCUGCUCCUAGUACGAGAGGACCGGAGUGGACGCAUCACUGGUGUUCGGGUUGUCAUGCCAAUGGCACUGCCCGGUAGCUAAAUGCGGAAGAGAUAAGUGCUGAAAGCAUCUAAGCACGAAACUUGCCCCGAGAUGAGUUCUCCCUGAGACUU